rnacentral:rRNA from 1 species
UACGUAGGCAGCGAGCGUUGUUCGGAGUUACUGGGCGUAAAGGGUGUGUAGGCGGUUUUCUAAGUUUGGUGUGAAAUCUCCCGGCUCAACCGGGAGGGUGCGCCGAAAACUGGGAGACUAGAGUGCGGGAUGGGAGAGUAGAAUUCCUGGUGUAGCGGUGAAAUGCGUAGAUAUCAGGAGGAAUACCGGUGGUGUAGACGGCUCUCUGGACCGCCACUGACGCUGAGACGCGAAAGCGUGGGGAGCAAACAGG